UCAUGAUGUAUUUAAGGAGUGGCCGCAACAUGAUAAUUCUGAGUAUGUAAAGGGACCACGUCACAGGAAGGCUGCUGAUGAGGAGUAAAAACACCUUAUCCUUUUCCUACCUUGAAGCAACCAUGGGUGCAAGGCUGCUCUGCUGUGUAGCCCUCCUUCUCCUGGGAGCAGGUUCCUUUGAUGCUGUUAUUCAGACUCCAAGACAUCUGGUUAAAGGAAAAGGGCAGAAAGUAGAGAUGAGUUGUACCCCUGAAAAAGGGCACAGUUUUGUCUGUUGGUAUCAACAGAAGCACAAUAAAGAAUUAAAUUUUUUGAUUAGUUUUCAGAGUCAACAAGUUUUAGAACAAAUAGACAUGGUCAAGGAACGAUUCUCAGCAAAAUGUCACUCAAACUCACCCUGCAACCUGGAAAUCCAGUCCUCUGAAGCAGGAGACUCAGCCCUGUACCUCUGUGCCAGCAGUCAGUCCACAGCAGGGUAACGCAUAUUUC